GGGGAUGCCCUUUAGUGUACAUUUGGAUUUGCAUUUGGACAUUUUGCAAACAAAUUGUUCCUUCAAAAAUAUUUCCCAAAACAGAUACCGUGUUCAAAUGGAAAACAAAACGAGCGCUCCUAGAAGCUACAAUGGAAACUGGAAGCCAGUCUGAGCUAAGGCUGUAAAGUGAUGGACAAUCUGUGUAAACGGUCAGGUUGGACUUUGAGAGUUCUUCUGUACAUUUAAAGUGAGAGGAAAAGCAGAACAAAUGUGAGUUCCUCCCACUGCCGUUACGAGCAGUCAGACGUAAAGAGGUGAAGGGUCAGAGCUACGGUGCCCUGAAAAGUGCCAAAAAGAAAAGUGCCAAAAAAAGGAGGUGGGUCUGUUGGCUGGCAGAGUUGCCCAGUUGUCGUCACUGUGCCUGGGGCAGCCUCUGGGACAAUCUGGCCUCUCUGGAAGAUCCUCCGCUGGAGCGACAUCAGAGCUGUCUUGCAGGAGGAAAACCAAAGAGACGAGGACGCUUUGAGAACAGCCAGAGCUGUCGAAACAAGAAACAAUAGAGCAUUGAAUCGGGCAAAUCCCAGUUCGUAGGGUGUCCUGGUAGAAGGCUGGAGGCACAUAAAUCCGCUAAUGCAAUCUGAAUGGUUAAAUAUAUGCAAUAUAUGUUCAAACAAUACAUAAGACAGCUGUGCUUUAUUGGCUGUUCCCGCAGGAGAAAUGAAGCUUGUGAGUGACGUCUCCUCCUCUUGAUUGACAGAAAGCGUUGACUCAGAACUCAAGUUGGUAGCUAUUGUACAAAUGCUCUUGAAGGUGUUCUCAGUACAGCUGGUGUUAUUGUCCUACAGCUCAAACCUGUUGCAUCAAUCUCAGCAUUAUGAUUACAUGGUCUCAGAUUUUACUCUUGAUUUAAAAGUUUCGUAAUGUAUU